rnacentral:lncRNA from 1 species
UUUGCUUCCACUUUUGUAAAUGCCUUACACCCUUACAGUAUUUCUGCUGCACAUCCUCCAAAAGGUUGAUUAGUAAGAGAACGAAGAAAACCCUCUCUCUGCCACCCGUUAGAUUUAUUAAGAUCUGGAGUCCCUUUCCUGUCUGACUCUCAUGUCUACGAUGACCCAUCAUUCCCCCAGCUCUGUAUAAAAAUCAUCUCCAUCUCUUCCUUAUACUGUGCAAACCCCCUUAUUCUUCUUUGUUUCUUAAAUUCUCUCAUUUCCUUUUCUUCUAUUACUUUGUUUCUUUUUCCUAGCGAAUAGCGUCACAAUAUAUCACUUCAGAUUUAGGGUUUCAGGCUCUUUUUGUGAUUAUAUGCAUAUUAUCUUCUAAGUGUUGUAUGUACACCUCUCCCUGUGUAUGUGCCGUUAACUAAUUUAACUUCUUAUAUAUUUAUUAUUUUUACUCCAUGAAUAGAUCAUAUGUAUUUAUAUAUAUAUAUAUAUAUAUAUUUGUUUAAGAAAAUAAUUUUGGUUUAUUGUCUGAAGGAUAUAUGAAAGCUGCUCUCUGGGAUCUCUGCCAAGAAUUUCAAGGUAAACCAAGUUGUCCGUUGGACAUCUAUCUGACCGUUCUUCUUCUUCACUGUUACUUUAACGUCAUUGCCUUGAUGUUUAUAAUAGAAGAUGUUUUGUCCCUUUACUCUUUAAUCGACCUUGUCCAAAAUAAGAAAACAGAUUUCGUUGAUUGUAGGGUUUUCUUUCUUUUUGUUCCAUGAUGGUAUAUUAGAUCUCCU